rnacentral:tRNA from 2 species
GUGCGCAUAGCUCAGCUGGAUAGAGCGUCUGGCUACGGACCAGAAGGUCGGGGGUUCGAAUCCUCUUGCGCACG